CAUGACUCAGGUGGAGCUGCUUACAUCCCCAGGUUUGAUAAGCAGGAGUAUCCCUCUCUGAACAAAUUCUGCAUUCCAUUCAAUUUUCUGAAGUUGUCAUGAAAAAUACUGCUUCUGUGCACAAAGAAUUCACCUUGAACUCACUGUGUUCUAUCAUAUUUCUCUUGGACCAGCUAUACCGUUAGUCAUUUAGUUACUGAUGGAAGCACCUGGGAAGAGUAAAUAGGAAAUCUGAAUGGGAAAAGCAAUUUAUCAAGGCUUUCUGCAGAGAACUGGCAAAAAAUGUGUCUCUUCAUAGGUCAAAGGAACAGGAAUGACUAGGUAAAAAAUUUAAAAUGGCUUACAGGAUAAACCAAGAUAAAGGCUUAGGAUCCACACGAGAAUGGGAGGAGAAACUGCUAUGAUUAGGGAACAGGAUGGGAAAGGGAUUGCUUUUAGUGCGUACACAAUGUGCCAGGAGCUGACUGGAAGUAAACAAAGAGACUGUAAGUCACCAGACAAACCAGAGCUGGAGCAAAAGGGUGCCUGGGGGAUACUGUGUGUCAUAUCCAGAAAAUAUCAUGGGGUAGGGAAGAACCUACUCAAGAAGCUGACAGAUAGGGCACCAAUAUCUUCUUCUGGGUGACUGCCUUCUGGGACAGAACAUAUUGCUGUUUUCUCCCCGUCAGCUGAGCUAAAGAAGGUGCCAGAACAGCAGCUGUGUAGUAGUGAAGAGCAAGCCACCCAGUCUUCUAUGGAAACACAGUACUCAAUGAAGGGGAAUUCAGUCUUGCUGAAACCGAGCUGGCUGAAAAUCUGCCGUGCAGCACCUAGGCUCCCUCUGGAGGGAGCGGAGCAGCACAAGCGCCUCCAGAUGGCGUCUGAUCCCGGCUCACCUGGCUGAGGAGGGAGAGCGAUUCCUAUUUCACGGGUGUGACAGAUGGCAGCAGAGGGGCAGUCUGACACAACGGCCUCUGAUGUGGAAGUGUGGAUCAAGUAAAGGUGUGUCACUGAAUUCCUUCAUGCAGAAAAAAUUGCACAGGUGUGCCUGCUGAGCAUUGAUGGAGACCAACCAGUGGAUGUGAGCACAGUUAGGCAGUGGGUGGUAGGCAUUUCAGCAGUGGAGACAGCGGGUUACUUCCACUGGUGCAGACUGUUAUGUGUGGCUCUUUUUCAUCACUGUUGAAAAUGCAACGCUCAUGGUGGUCACAGCUGAAAAAUCGUGUUUUGUAUUUAAGAAUUUGCUCUAUCAAACUGUGUUAUUGUGCCCUUUGUAUCCACUGUAGUUUCCGUGGAAAUAAAUAGAAGGCAUUAUGUGUGGAGCAACCUACAUACAUUCUGCUGGAUCUGGAAGUCCAAGAGAGGCAAGGCCUCUGCAACGCUGCACGCCUAGGUGCCUCCAGUAGUGAGCCUGAAAAUGUAUGUCCAGGAGGUACCUGCACACAGAGCACAUAGAUAUAUAUACCAGAUGCAUACACAUGCAUACAUCCAACUGGCCUCAUGAAUCCCGAACCAUCAAAUGAACAGAGCACCAAUGGCCUCACCUUUUCCCCUUCCUGGUGGAGUGAGUCCUUCACUGGGAGUGUAUAUCCUGUAUAUGAGAUGGAUCCAUUCAGCAGCUGGUCUUGUGCUCCCCAGCUUAUGGCACUUGGACACAUGAAGGCUCCGGGGAGACGUUAUAGUGGCAUUUGCAGUGCUUACAGAGCACCUACAGGAGAGAUGAAGAGGGGAUUCUUCAUCAAGGGUUGCAGUGACAGGACAAGGGCUAAUGGUUUUCAGCUAAAUGAGGAUAGGUUAAAGUUAGAUAUAAGAAAUAAAUUCUUCAUAAUGAGGGUGAUGAGGUCCUGGCAUAGGUUCCCCAGACAAGCUGUGGAUGUCCCAUCUCUUGAAGUGCUCAAGGCCAGCUUAGAUGUGGCCCUGGGCAACUUGACCUAGUGGAAGGUGUCCACACACAUGGCAGCAGAGUGGGAACUAGAUGGUCUUUAAAAUUGCAUCCAAUAAAAACAAUUCAAUGAUUCUGUGAUUCUAAAUGCAGAGCAGGGCCAGAAAAGUGCAUUCAACAGUGCUUGCUUAAAUACAAAUUAAUCCUUUUAUUUCCUUGUGUCUCUGUUUCCCCCAGUUUUCCCUACCAAAUGACCUAAAUCCCUCCUUUUUUUUUUUCUUACCUUUGAUCCUGCCCCUAAACAUCCUACAGUAAAUCCUGUACAAUCCCAACUGUCCUUCCCUGCAUCCCAUAAUGUGUCUCAUGCCAAGGCAGCAACUGUCUGAAGUCCAAGUUGUUUCAGAGAACUGCUCCCAGUGUCUCACAGUGGUGAGUUUCACAACUGGAUGCCAGGGCUCUGGAUCUGCUGGCACAACCCUGGGAGGGUCCCAGACAGAAUGCCCCUUCCUGUGAGUCUUUGAGUCCCCCUAUCUGCCUUUGAUGGGUCUUUGAUGGGCUGGUGGCACCUGGGCCAGGGAGUGGUUUGGCAGGACUCCCCCCUCCUUAUUCCCUCUGAGGUUCGUUUGUAGGUCUGCAGACCAGCUUUUGUCAUAUACUGAGUUUAUCUUGUAACUAUACUGAGCUAAAAUUUAGUAAGACAAAAAAAAAAAAAAAAUAGCUGCAUGAGACUAGAAGAGCCAUCCCAUCCUAAAUAUUUGCCUUCUGAGACAAAUUUGAUAUCCGGUCUGCUUUGGUUUUAAGUAUAUAUUAUAGCUCUGGCUAGUCUAUUACAGAUAUAAUUUACAUGUUAGGUCACUUCAUGUCCUAUCUGUCAGAACACACUAUCAUCACUACACAAAAGAUGUUUUCCUGUUUCUUUGAGAGAGUGCAGGAUGACAACGUCUCUUGAAUAAAUUUUGGUGGAUGAUAGAUAAUUUCAUCACCAAAAUUACAUCAAUUAUCAUCCUGUCUGCAUUUGUUAGUUUCGGGGGCGAGUUAGAGAGGAAAUGUGAUGAUGUUAUGUCAGUGGGUGUAAAAGCAGCUUUCAGUUCCUAAGCACUUCAUAAAAGUAAUGCUCUACCAUGCAACUUCACAGGGUCAUUCUUAAGUUCUCCGUUAUGCUUUGUACAACAAAUUUUACCUGCAAAUAAUGUGAAGUAAAAAAAAAAAAAAAAUAAAAGAAAUUCAAUCAUCCACUGUGUGAUUUCAAAAGAAUGUCAGUAGGAUAGAAAAUUUAGAACAUGAAUAGAUUCUUACUUAGUGUGCAUUUGUGUAGCCCCACAGAUUUUUCUACAGGCAGAAUUGACUUCAGCAAGCCUUGUCCCAGGAGGUGACCAAUAUUUCACUAAACUACGUUGGCAUGUCACCUGCCUCCUAUCCCCAAACAUAUAUCAGCAUGGCUUCUGAGCACCAAGCUUAUCUUCCAGGUUUUAUGUACAAUUAUAGUGUGAUAGAAGUCAGUAAAAAUCUCCUUCAUAGUUGGAGAUCUUAAGAGAUUUUCUGGUAAUGUGUUAGAAGUAGUGAUAAGCAAGGCAUGCUGUCAGUACCUGAAAAAAUAUCUUUUCUACUAUGUUUCAGAGUGGCCCAUAGUAGUUCUUGUUUAACAUCACGUCUAGUGGAUUAUCAACUGCUUUAUAGAAGAGUGAACUGUAAGUAACCUUAUAUU
ensembl:lncRNA